rnacentral:tRNA from 1 species
GUUCGCGUAGCUCAGUUGGAUAGAGCAAUUGCCUUCUAAGCAAUGGGUCGUGGGUUCGAAUCCCGCCUCGAGUA